CAGACACAUACGCCUCACACUCUCUAUCAGUCACGUCAGGCUCGGUGGAUCACGGUAGCACUAGCUUCAGCUAGCCAGCCUCUGCCACUCCGGGCAUUUUCUUGCAUCCACGACGGCAAUGGCCACCGCUGAUGUCCAGAACCCGACGGCCGCGCUGACGGAGGAGGCGCCCACGGUGGAGACGCCCGUCGCCGCCGAGGAGGUCGCGAAGACGGAGGAGGCCCCCGCGCCGGCCGAGGCCGAGGUCAAGGCGCCUGCUGCCCCCGUCGAGGUCGAGGAGACCAAGGAGGUGGCACCUGCCGCCGCUGAGACGGAGGAGGCCAAGGAGCCCGAGCCAGCAGCUGCGGCCGAGCCGGAGGCCGAGGCCCCCAAAGAGACAGAGGCGCCAGCCGUGGUCGAGACAGAGACCAAGGAGGCCGUGGCUGAGGCAGAGCCAGCGGCGCCCGAGGAGGUGAAGGAGGAGGCCGCGCCUCCUGCCGAGCCAGAAGCACCGGCCGUCGCCGAGGAGGCACCGGCUGCACCGGAGGAGGCGCCCGCGGCCGCGGCAGAGGAGCCGGCCGCCGCGGUGGCCAGCGUCAGCGUGUGAGGCGCCGGCGCGCGCGGAGGAGGAGCUGGCCGGGUCAGCUUCCACGGCGGCGGCCGUGUGCUCCUACGUGGCACGGCGUGAUGCUGAGUCAGCCAGUGGAGUGGAGUGGAAUGAUACUUUUUACUAGGUGUGGAGUGGGAGUGCUAUGCGCGGGGUCGCGUGACGUGGGCUAAAUAAAAGUGUUGUCGGGUCGGGUCGACGCCCAGUGUCGGUCAGCAGCGAGCGACGCAGUGCCACUCUCGCCGGCCUGCGUCUGCGUCUGCUUAGCUGGAGCCUUGUUACGGUGUGUGUCACAGUGUCAGUUCCACCUAUGAUCGAUCGGUAUCCUAACCGGUUUGCGUUAUCCCUGGCUCCUGCUUCAGUAUGUCUCUGGAUGAUCUCCAGCUAAUUUACCACUCUACCGAUGCAUCUAGACGAAUA
rnacentral:rRNA from 1 species